rnacentral:rRNA from 1 species
GACGAACGCUGGCGGCGUGCUUAACACAUGCAAGUCGAACGGAAAGGCCCUGCUUUUGUGGGGUGCUCGAGUGGCGAACGGGUGAGUAACACGUGAGUAACCUGCCCUUGACUUUGGGAUAACUUCAGGAAACUGGGGCUAAUACCGGAUAGGAGCUCCUGCUGCAUGGUGGGGGUUGGAAAGUUUCGGCGGUUGGGGAUGGACUCGCGGCUUAUCAGCUUGUUGGUGGGGUAGUGGCUUACCAAGGCUUUGACGGGUAGCCGGCCUGAGAGGGUGACCGGCCAAAUGGGGACUGGGAUACGGCCCAGACCCCUACGGGGGGCAGCAGUGGGGAAUAUUGCAAAAUGGGCGGAAGCCUGAUGCAGAAACGCCGGGGGGGGGAGGACGGCCUUCGGGUUGUAAACCGCUUUCGCCUGUAACGAAGCGUGGGUGACGGUAAUGGGAAAAGAAGCACCGGCUAACUACGU